rnacentral:rRNA from 1 species
AGAGUUUGAUCCUGGCUCAGGAUGAACGCUGGCGGCGUGCCUAACACAUGCAAGUUGAGCGAGAAAUCACUUAAAGAAGCUUCGGUAGACUUAAGAGAUGGAGAGCAGCGGACGGGUGAGUAACGCGUGGGAAACCUGCCCUUGACAGGAGGAUAGCCGAGAGAAAUUUCGAUUAAUACUUCAUAAAGCAGAGCAUUCGCAUGGAUGAACUGCCAAAGAAUUAUCGGUCAAGGAUGGUCCCGCGUCUGAUUAGCUGGUUGGUAAGGUAGCGGCUUACCAAGGCGACGAUCAGUAGCCGGCCUGAGAGGGUGAACGGCCACAUUGGAACUGAGACACGGUCCAGACUCCUACGGGAGGCAGCAGUGGGGAAUAUUGCACAAUGGGCGAAAGCCUGAUGCAGCAACGCCGCGUGAAGGAAGAAGGCUUUCGAGUCGUAAACUUCUGUCCAAAGGGAAGAAUAAUGACGGUACCUUUGAAGAAAGCCCCGGCUAACUACGUGCCAGCAGCCGCGGUAAUACGUAGGGGGCGAGCGUUAUCCGGAAUUACUGGGCGUAAAGAGUAUGUAGGUGGUUAAGUAAGCGUAGGGUUUAAGGCGACAGCCCAACUGUCGUAUGCCCCGCGAACUGUUUAACUUGAGUACAGGAGGGGAAGGCGGAAUUCCUAGUGUAGCGGUGAAAUGCGUAGAUAUUAGGAGGAACACCAGUGGCGAAGGCGGCCUUCUGGACUGUAACUGACACUGAGAUACGAAAGCGUGGGUAGCAAACAGGAUUAGAUACCCUGGUAGUCCACGCCGUAAACG